rnacentral:rRNA from 1 species
UACGUAGGGUGCAAGCGUUAAUCGGAAUUACUGGGCGUAAAGCGUGCGCAGGCGGUUUGGUAAGUCUGUCGUGAAAGCCCCGGGCUCAACCUGGGAAUUGCGAUGGAGACUGCAAGGCUUGAAUCUGGCAGAGGGGGGUAGAAUUCCACGUGUAGCAGUGAAAUGCGUAGAGAUGUGGAGGAACACCGAUGGCGAAGGCAGCCCCCUGGGUUAACACUGACGCUCAUGCACGAAGCGUGGGAGCAACAGG